rnacentral:rRNA from 1 species
GAUGAACGCUCGCGGCAGGCCUAAUACAUGCAAGUCGGACGGGAUUCAGGAGCUUGCUUCUGAUGAGAGUGGCGCACGGGUGCGUAACACGUAUGUAACCUACCUUUAUCAGGGGGAUAGCCUCUCGAAAGAGAGAUUAAGCCCGCAUAAAAUCACAGCACAGCAUUGUGUAAUGAUCAAAUAUUUAUAGGAUAAAGAUGGGCAUGCGGAACAUUAGCUAGAUGGCGGGGUAACGGCCCACCAUGGCGACGAUGUUUAGGGGAUCUGAGAGGAUGGCCCCCCACACUGGUACUGGGACACGGACCAGACUCCUACGGGAGGCAGCAGUAAGGAAUAUUGGUCAAUGGGCGGAAGCCUGAACCAGCCAUGCCGCGUGCAGGAAGACGGCCCUACGGGUUGUAAACUGCUUUUAGACGGGAAUAAACCCAGAUACGUGUAUCUGGCUGAAUGUACUGUAAGAAUAAGGAUCGGCUAACUCCGUG